UACAACUUUCAACAACGGAUCUCUUGGCUCUCGCAUCGAUGAAGAACGCAGCGAAAUGCGAUAAGUAAUGUGAAUUGCAGAAUUCAGUGAAUCAUCGAAUCUUUGAACGCACCUUGCGCUCCUUGGUAUUCCGAGGAGCAUGCCUGUUUGAGUGUCAUGAAAU
rnacentral:rRNA from 1 species